AGCAGCCGCGGUAAUUCCAGCUCCAAUAGCGUAUAUUAAAGUUGUUGCAGUUAAAAAGCUCGUAGUUGAAUUUCGGGGUCAGUAGGUCGGUCGUGCCACUGGUAUGAACUGGUUUUACUGAUUCCUCCCUCUUGAAGAACUGUAAUGCCAUUAAUUUGGUGUUGCAGGGAAUCAGGACUGUUACUUUGAAAAAUUAGAGUGUUUAAAGCAGGCUUUAGCUUGAAUACAUUAGCAUGGAAUAAUGAAAUAGGACGUUUGAUCCUAUUUUGUUGGUUUCUAGGAUUGACGUAAUGAUUAAUAGGGAUAGUUGGGGGCAUUAGUAUUCAAUUGUCAGAGGUGAAAUUCUUGGAUUUAUUGAAGACUAACUACUGCGAAAGCAUUUGCCAAGGAUGUUUCAUUAAUCAAGAACGAAAGUUAGGGGAUCGAAGACGAUCAGAUACCGUCGUAGUCUUAACCAUAAACUAUGCCGACUAGGGAUCGGAUGAUGUUAAUUUUUUAAUGUACUCAUUC
rnacentral:rRNA from 1 species